rnacentral:rRNA from 1 species
AGUGAACGCUGGCGGUAGGCCUAACACAUGCAAGUCGAACGGCAGCACAGUAAGAGCUUGCUCUUACGGGUGGCGAGUGGCGGACGGGUGAGGUAUACAUCGUAAUCUACUUUUUCGUGGGGGAUAACGUAGGGAAACUUACGCUAAUACCGCAUACGACCUACGGGUGAAAGCAGGGGAUCUUCGGACCUUGCGCGAUUGAAUGAGUCGAUAUCGGAUUAGCUAGUUGGCGGGGGAAAGGCCCACCAAGGCGACGAUGCGUAGCUGGUCUGAGAGGAUGAUCCGCCACCCUGGAUCUGAGACACGGUCCCGACUCCUACGCGGGGACGCAGUGGGGAAUAUUGGGCGAUGGGCGAGAGCCUGAUCCAGCCAUACCGCGUGAGUGAAGAAGGACUUCGGGUUGUAAAGCCAUUUUGUUGGGAAAGAAAAGCAGCAGGUUAAUCCACGGCUGUUAUGACGGUACCCAAAGAAUAAGCCCCGGCUAACUUCGUG